rnacentral:rRNA from 1 species
GAUGAACGCUGGCGGCGUGCCUAAUACAUGCAAGUCGAGCGAACGGACGAGAAGCUUGCUUCUCUGAUGUUAGCGGCGGACGGGUGAGUAACACGUGGAUAACCUACCUAUAAGACUGGGAUAACUUCGGGAAACCGGUGCUAAUACCGGAUAAUCUUUUGAACCGCAUGGUUCAAAAGUGAAAGACGGUCUUGCUGUCACUUAUAGAUGGAUCCGCGUUGCAUUAGCUAGUUGGUAAGGUAACGGCAUACCAAGGCAACGAUGCAUAGCCGACCUGAGAGGGUGAUCGGCCACACUGGAACGGAGACACGGUCCAGACUCCUACGGGAGGCAGAAGUAGGGAAUCUUCCGCAAUGGGCGAAAGCCUGACGGAGCAACGCCGCGUGAGGGAUGAAGGUCUUCGGAUCGUAAAACUCUGUUAUUAGGGAAGAACAUAUGUGUAAGUAACUGUGCACAUCUUGACGGUACCUAAUCAGAAAGCCACGGCUAACUACGUG